rnacentral:misc_RNA from 1 species
GAGGUCGGAGGUUCAGUCCUCCCAGGCCCACCACUUCCUUUCGAUACGAAGGUUAUCAGGGGCCGUAGCUCAGCUGGGAGAGCGCCUGCUUUGCAAGCAGGAUGUCGUCGGUUCGAUCCCGUCCGGCUCCACCAACCAUCUUCUGCGAAGAUGGGGCGUGUCGAGUAGAGACGGUGAGAAAAAAGUCAUUCGAAAAAGAGUUUGCGUCGAGCCUCUUGGCUUAGCGCCUGUUCUGUUUGACAUCGUAAAGAGAAGAUUUGUUCGAACUUCAUGAGCCGCAAGGACCGUGAUUUGUCGCUGGAGACGCUCAAUCUCCAGCAUAUGAUGGGUUUGCCUAACCGCGCCCUCGAACGGAUCUCGAGAAGCUGGUCUUUUUGUGCCAAUUCCAACCAGUAAUACCCCGCACAGGGUGUUGCUGGAGCGACGAUCUCUUCGAGAUCGCGCUUAUGCGACGAUCCUUCGGAUCGCGCUUAGCCAAUCCUGCAAGGGCGAGGCUGAAGCGACGAUCCCUGCGGGAUCGCGCGAUGAUGGGUAUUGGCAAUGAGAACGAUCAAGUGUCUUAAGGGCAAUUGGUGGAUGCCUUGGCAUGCACAGGCGAUGAAGGACGUGAUACGCUGCGAUAAGCUACGGGGAGGUGCGAAUACCCUUUGAUCCGUAGAUCUCCGAAUGGGAAAAACCC